UCAAAAUGCCCAAGUUCGAUUUGUACGAAGGGCAUGGCAAUCCUAUGGCACAUCUACGGGGCUUUUGUAGCAAAAUGAGGGGAGCAGGGAGAAAAGAUGAGCUACUGAUAGCUUACUUUGGCCAGAAUUUGAGCGGGUCGGCACUGGAGUGGUAUACAA
rnacentral:pre_miRNA from 1 species